GAAGGUAUAGCUCAGUGGUAGAGCACACGCCUCGCAUGCAUGAGGUCAUAGGUUCGAUCCCCCAUACGUCA
rnacentral:tRNA from 1 species